rnacentral:rRNA from 1 species
AACUAUAACGGUCCUAAGGUAGCGAAAUUCCUUGUCAGGUAAGUUCUGACCCGCAUGAAAGGCGUAAUGAUUUGGGCACUGUCUCAACAGCCCGCCCGGCGAAAUUGUAGUACCGGUGAAGAUGCCGGUUACCCGCGACAAGACGGAAAGACCCCAUGGAGCUUUACUGUAGCCUAAUAUUGGGUUUCGAUGUUGCAUGCACAGGAUAGAUGGGACACUGGGAAACAAUCGCUUUGGCGGUUGCGGAGUGGCCGUUGGGAUACCAUCCUUGCGAUAUUGGAAUUCUAACCUGCGGCUCUGAAUCGAGUCGGGGGACAUUGUUAGGUGGGCAGUUUGACUGGGGCGGUCGCCUCCUAAAAAGUAACGGAGGCGUUCAAAGGUUCGCUCAGCUUGAACGGAAAUCAAGCAAAAGAGUGCAAACGCAGAAGCGAGCCUAACUGCGAGACUGACGGGUCGAGCAGUAACGAAAGUUGGAGUUAGUGAUCCGGUGGUAUGUGAGUGGAAAUGCCAUCGCUCAACGGAUAAAAGUUACCCUGGGGAUAACAGGCUGAUCUCCCCCAAGAGUCCACAUCGACGGGGAGGUUUGGCACCUCGAUGUCGGCUCAUCACAUCCUGGGGCUGUAGUAGGUCCCAAGGGUUGGGCUGUUCGCCCAUUAAAGUGGUACGCGAGCUGGGUUCAGAACGUCGUGAGACAGUUCGGUCCCUAUCCGUCGCAGGCGUAGGAAAUUUGAGGAGACCUGUCCUUAGUACGAGAGGACCGGGAUGGACGUACCGCUGGUGUACCAGUUGUUCUGCCAAGGGCAUGGCUGGGUAGCUAAGUACGGAAAGGAUAAGCGCUGAAAGCAUCUAAGCGCGAAGCCCACUUCAAGAUAAGAUUUCCCACCGCAAGGUUAAGAUCCCAGGAAGACUACCUGGUUGAUAGGUCAGAGGUGUAAGUGCAGUAAUGUAUUUAGCUUACUGAUACUAAUAGAUCGAGGACUUGACCAA